rnacentral:rRNA from 1 species
GGCGGACGGGUGAGUAACACGUUGAGUUAACCUACCUUCCACAGGGGAAUAACACCGUGAAAACGGUGCUAAUACCGCAUAACAUUGCGCCGCGGCAUCGCGGGGCAAUCAAAGGAGCGAUCCGGUGGAAGAUGGACUCGCGCCCGAUUAGCUGGUUGGCGGGAUAACAGCCCACCAAGGCGACGAUCGGUAGCCGAACUGAGAGGUUGAUCGGCCACAUUGGGACUGAGACACGGCCCAGACUCCUAC